CCGUAAUCAUAAUGGUUAGACCUUUUUGCCACUUCUCACAAGUCCAGGUUAGUGUGCCGGUUAACCACACACGCUCCACUAACGACUUUGAGAAUGCAAAUAUCACAAUUGCUAUCUAGAUAAAAUCUACUUAGUGAAAGUGUUUCCUCACCAUCAUUUUCAUGAAUCGGAGAGAAACCUUAUGACACUUAGAUUUAUAUGGUGUAUGAGUUCCUACCCAUAUGAAUUUGUCAAACCAUAAUCACAAGACAAAGAUAAUGACAAAUCCAAAACCAUAUGGAUUGAACUCAAUCUUAACUUCUUGCCACCUGGCAGCUCAAGGGCCUGCCAUUGCUUCCAAGUUGUUAUGCAACAAACUGAGAACUCUAAGAACUCAUAUGCAAAGCCAACUUUAACUGGAAUGGGCACAGAUAUGUCAACACGAUAGGUUAUAAACCUCAAGUCGUGUGCUAGUGAAGAACUUCAGGUUUUAUUCUUGAUUAUUUCUUGAGACUUUCAAGACCUUUAAGACUCCCACUGUCCUCUUGACAUAUAAGACUCCCUUGUCAAACAUCCAAGAGAUAGUGCGGAUUCUAAUCAAGAAAAACACUUUACCCAAUUGGCCUAAGUUGGUCUUUGUUUUAUCCAAAACAUCACAACUUACCAAUUUCAAAUGUACAAGAGUAGAAAACUUUUACUCUUACAUUUGACAAGUGUUUUAAACCUUCUUUAAGACAUGUCACUCAAAUGACAAUCUUGGAGUAUGACUCUAAGACUUGUAUUGGAACGAAGUAUGACUCAUCUUCUUGAUUUAACCAUUUCAACAAUUCAAGUUCCUCUUCUUAGUCAUAAGAAUGCACUAAGAUUUCCUUAGAGAACUAAUUUUGAUAUGGUUUCUUAAUCAUUAAGAUGAUCACAAAACUGAUACUAAAGUACUCUCCCAUCUUUUCAGAUUUGAGAAACUUUUAUCCUUCUGCCUAAUUUGAUUCUUCUUAUUCGCCCUGCCAUACAUUGGAACCUUUUCCAAUGUCUCAGAGUUACACUUAAGCUUGUAAGUAUAAUCAUAUUUACUGAGCUUUAGUAAACUAUGACGAAUAGUCUUAUCAAUCUUUUGUGGUGGACUUAAUCAGUGCACAAGAAUGUGUACUCGAUCCCUUAGUCCUUUACUUGACUCACACAUCCAUGUGGCCGAGUAAUUAGUCUUAAUUUUCCAAAACUUGAAAGUUCUCAUUCAUCAUGCUAUACAACUUGCAUGAUUCCAAGUUCCGGUCCAAUUGAAACUUGGGUGAUGAGAAUCUUUCCUUAUUUGGUAAAUCUAGACAUUACCACAAAUGAAAGAAUCAAUUUCAUAUUUCCACUCUUGCUCUUAAUGGAAUCAUAUAAGCAACAAUUUUUCCUCAAAAGCCAUUGUAAGGAUAUUUUAAAAUAAAUAAAAUCAAAAAAUUUUUCUUUUAUUUUAAAACUUUGCGGAAAAACUUAUCCUUACAAUCCAUAUGAAAACUUGUUGUUAUCUAUUCCUAAGCAAUAUCUCAUAACUCCUAAGAAGUUGCUCAAGAAUCCGAUCUUCAAACUAUGCGAUAGAAAUCCAUCUACGCCAUCAGAUUCAGCAUAUUCUUUCUUUAAGUUUCUUCACUUUUCUUUGAUUCUUAAAACAUCACCAUGUGACCCAGUCACAUCAUGUAUCAGGAAUCUCAGAAUAGAAACUUAACAGAGUUAGAUAGUGGACUUUACCUGAAGUAGAGUCAAACUUAUUGACUUUAACAUCCUUAGGUAAAUUUGGCAGCUUCGCAACCAAUGCCCCUUCCUUUGGCAAUAUAAACAUAUGGACCCUUUGAUAAUGGUACACGGGACUAUCACAGACUUAGCUUUUCUCUUUACCAUUUGGUCAACCGAGUUGACUAUGGCCGAUCCCUUUCCAUUGGGAAGAGAAUGCUUUACUGGAUAUCCAAUGUCAUCAUUGUCAAUGUCCAUAAAGUUUUAGGAAGUUGAUCUUAGCAAAUAGAUAAGAUCAUUAAGGGUCUUGUCAUAGUCUGUUUCAUAGGUGUCCCAAAGGAACUCACUAUGUGACUUAGAAAGUGAUUGAACCACCAACUUUCUCAAGACUUUGACACCCAACUCUCCCGGCUUGUCAAUAUGUGACUACAUCUCCAAGAUGUGAUCACACCUAGACCUUGCCUUGCCAAUAGGGCUUGAGUGACCUUAAACUUUUCAAGAACUUGUGGGUUAGGGAGAAUAAUUGGAGGAGGUGAAAGAAGUAUGAUUUCCAAAGGACAUCAUCUUCAUUUAGGAAACCUUGUUUCACUAGAUUUGGGAAGAUCAUAGGUGUCUAUUACAGACAUCUUUUGGGAGAUAUUCAAGAUAGUUGAUUUAAAGUCCUUAAUAUGACACCCAAUAUGAAAUAUUAAGGCUAGGACCCAACAAACUAUUUUAUAACUUAGAAGAGGUAUGCCGUAAUCCAAGCUAUAAAAUAUUUGAAGGUAGGUGAAUGACGAUUCACCAAUUUCCACCAAGAUAAACGAAAUGUAUUAUUAGGUUUUAAUUGGUUUUGAAACUCCUAGAUCUUUGAGAUUCAUUGAACUGUUCAAAGGCAUGUUUCAAUCUCGAGUGUGCCCUUCAGGUUUUGUGACUGGGAUGCCGAGGAUCACAAAACAAGGUGUGAAGUAACCAUGCAAAUCACUUGGUACCCUUAAUAAAUUACCCCUCAAUCGAUGUGCCGGUUAACCACACACGCUCCAUCGAUACUAUGAUAAAUAUUAAGUCACCCUUUACCUACCUUGUUAAGUCCAAGUUAGUGUGCCGGUUAACCACACACGCUCCACUAACGACUUAGACAAAGUGUAAAGUGUAAUUUCAUGGAUUAGCACCUUAUUCACAUUUUUCCUAAGUAACUAAGAUUGGGUAUUAUUAAGAGUUUAGUUACUUAGUAUUAUCAUUAAUACUUUUAAUGAAGGGAGAAUUCUAGUCCUGUCAAACCCGUUCGGCUAACGACCCUCCACCAGUCAAGCAAGCGGUGGGUGAGAGUGGACACCCAUUAAGUUGCCAUUUUAUAGGCAACAACCUUAUACCCACCUUAUAGACCGGCUUCGUGAAUGAGGCGUACUAGCGGUAAGACUGACUUUACUCUUAUACAUAUAUAUAUUAUUAACUUAUAAUAUUAUAAAGUAUAAGGGUUGAAUUUUAACUUUUAAAAUUCUAAGGGCUAACUUGGAAUUAAAGUAUUCAUAAGUGAAAACUUUACAAAUUCCAAAACUUGAGGGCAAGUUUUGAAACUAUUCAAAACUAAUUAAUUCCAUAACUUAUGUGUUUAAAGUAGUUUUAAUCCAAAAACUCUUCAAGUUCCAUAACUUGAGGACAAGUUAUGGAAGACUUUAAACUAAUAAAAGAAUUAACUUUUCUUUAUUUUAUAACUUAUGGAAUUAAUUAAGGUUACACUUUUUUUUUUUUUAUUUUAUUUUAUUAAAUGAAGAGACUCUUGGUCCUCCAUAACUUGAGGACAAGUUAUGGAGUCAUAAAACCAUUUAAUUAGAACUAGACUCUUCAUUUUUGUAACCUUUGCCAAUUUUUAUGAGUUUUAUGAUUCUUAAAUGUGACUUUUCAUAUAACUUGAGGACAAGUUACAAAAACACAUUUUAGAAUCAAUUCUUAGAUUAAUUUGGAUUAAAACCAACUAUCACAUAAUUUUAUUCAUUAAUCUAAAUUCACUCAUAAAACAAGGUAACACAAAAAACUUUUGGUGAUCCAUAACUUAUUCUUAAGUUAUGGAAUCCUUUAAAACAUUAACACCAAAUUUUGUAACUCCAAAAAAACUUUGAAUCAAUUUUUUUUUUAAAACCUUUUCAUAUCCAUAACUUAUGGAGGUUUCAAAAAAUAAAACUCUUUAGAUCAAACUUUUAAAACUAAUAAAAUAAUCAUAUUAUUUUAUCUUUUAUUAAAUUUGACCUAAUUCAACUCAUAAAGCAAAUUAUUCAAAUUUUACAAAUAAUUAGUUUUUCACAAGAACAAGUAAUUAUCUUAAAAUUUGACAAACUUCAUGUUUUUUUUUUUUUUUUUUUUCAACUUUGAAAAUAAAAUAUUUGCAUCAAUAUAACAGAAAACAACCCGUGGCUCUGAUACCACUGUUGGGUUUUGAGCAUUCUAACACUUCCUAAGUGUACAUGCAACCCUAAAUACCUUGGAUCUAUGUUUUCUCUAUUAUACAUGCAAAUAAGAACUUCCAAGGUAUUAUCCUAAUCUAGCAUACAAAACAAUAACUAUAGCAAGAUAGAAUACAUACCUCUUUGGUGUAGAAAGUCUUCAUGAAGCUUGAGUGCCUAGUGCCCCAAGUGUGACACCUCAAAUGGAAUCACAAUCAUCAAAACACUUAGAAUGACUUGAGAGAAUUCUACACUCAUCAAAAUCGGCUAGCCCUUUCUUCACUAUCUCUAGUGGCCGAUUUUUCCUCAAUAAUAAGAUGCUUAUAUAGUUACACAAUUAGGGUAAACUCUUAAUUGUCAUGGCUUUCCAUUUCCUUGGAUCCAUGGGUACAAAUACACCAUGGAGCAUCCAUGGACCAUCCUAUGGGUUUUAGCCCAACUUGAUUAUCCAUGGAGCAUUAGCCCACUAUACAAGUAUGGAUGAUUUACACAAUCAACCCAUAUAUUUAAUUAGUCUUCUUUUGAUCACUUAAUUAAUCCUAGAUUAAUUCUUGAUCAAUACUAAUUAAAUAAUCUUAUUAUUCUUAUUAUUAAUAUACUAGAACUUAUAAUAUAUUAAUAACCAUAAGUGUCUUAUUUCUCUCAUUAUAGUCUAUCCAAGUGCAUGAUGGUAUGCAACCCAAAUGGACCAUGCCGGGUCGGGUCAAGUCUUACCAAUUAUAGUUAUGGACUUAGACAUUAAUCCAACAGUCUCCCACUUGGAUAAGUCUAAAACUAUUAUUGCGUAUGACUUCAGGAACCAACUGGCAAUCGUAGCUCUCAAAAGCUUCUGUCGAACUCUGACCUUGUAGAUGAACUCUGACCUUUGUCAAUGACUUGUCCAUUAGAUAAGGGAUCAUAUAUUCCUCCAUUCUAGAUAUCAUAUGGACUGAGACAUGGAUUAUAAUCAUUCUCUCUGUCCAUUUGUUGUUUCCCGAUUUCCGAUUUAUGACGACUGACUAAUUGAACAAAUCAAAUCAGUCCUGGCCCGGCCGAGCACUUCCAUUUGUCAUCAUCAAAUCAUCGAGGGGCCCACAGAUAUCGCUUUUAUCCCGAAGGUAAAAGGAACGGAUAAACUUCGACUCAUAUGGCUUGUUCUACUACUUGUUGAAUCAUACACAAAGGCACGUUUUAUAGCACCGAGUUACCAAAUGCGUUUUCGUGCAAUCAAUGUACUAUCAACUCAUAGUAACAACUCAUAUCUCUAGGUUUGAAGAAUAUAAGAUAUUAUCGUCUCAUGAUCACUCGUGAUAAAAUCCAUGAAGUGAUUCCAAUGAGCGCGGGUUGAAUCCAAUACUCAGAACUUAUGAGCACUCAUGAGUGUUGUAGCCCUUUGUCCAACACCUUAGACCUCUACAAGCCAACCCAUGACAGUCUUAAUUCAUAUCUACUUCCAACAUAUGACCGACUGUGGAUGGUUUGAAUAACUUAGUCAUUCCGGAAGAAUAACCUAGUUUAUUCGGGAAGUCAAAACAUGCAAAGUGAAACACAAUAAUAAUUGAAUCCAAUAUGGUAUCAACCCUUUGAACAUAAAUAAAACACCUUUUAUUUAUCACCAUAUGAUUACACAUUAUUCAUUGUAUACUGUUUCAGCUAUCAACUUUAUUCUUGAAUUUAAAACAAUAGUUGUCCCAUGCUCCAAGCAUGUACACUAUGUUUUCUUAAACACUAGUCAUGCCACACACCAAGUAUGCAUACUAUGUUUGUCUAUGAUCUUUACUUUGUGAACUAGAUCAAUUGAACAUAACUUCAAUGAUUCUCUUUUCACACUCCCAAAUCCUUACUGCAAAUGCAAGAAUUCCAAAUUCAUGCCAUUUACUGAAAUCUGUUAGAUUCUAAACUUAUAUGCAUUGAUCCUCUUGUAAUGAUUAUGCACAAAGUCAGAAAGACUUGACAACAAUCAUUACAGAGUAUUCCAAAGGAGAUCAGCUCCUUGGAAACAUCCUUCUUGCAUUAAGUUUCCUAAUCUUAAACAGAUUGAAAAUUCUAACUUUGAAACAUUUCCAGAUUCCAUUUUGACUAUCACUUCUGAACAAGAGUUGCCUCCUUACAGAUUAUGUCAAUAUGGUCCUUCCAGAAUUAUCACUAUACUUCCAACUGUCCUUGAGCAACCAAUCUUUGGUAAACCUUAGAUUGUCCUCGACAAUUGUUUAAUCCUUUUAGUCAUAUCCAGUUCUAAACCUUUUCCCUUCUUAAUGCCCCAGGCAUUUGGAAAAUUUUAGAACGGAUGAAUAUAGCACAUGUAAUCGAUCCUAUAUCCGAAGCAUAUGGGACACGAUUCAUGAUGUCUUACAUAAAGACUAAACCAGUCUUUUGCUAUAAUAUUUCCAUUUCAAUUUGCCAAGUUCUCAUAAUUCAGAUUAUGAAAAGGGAUGCCGUAAUCAUAAUCGAAUUUUAGAACGCAAAUAAUGGACCCAUAUACAGAAUUUCCUUAUGUUGAGCCAUUCCAACAUGAAAUUCAUAUAUAUCCUUGACUAAAUGAUUAAAACCUCACGAUCUAAGCUUAUAGAUUUGAGAUGAAGUAUAAUUUCCUCUCCCUUAAUUAUAGCAAAACAACUUUUUCCCAAUUGAAACUUUUGUUUUCUAUAAUUAACAUUGCUAACUUGCAAUACUUAUCAUAAUUAUCAUGCUCCCACUAACAUGAUGAUUAUUAGCAUAACACUUAUGCUCCCACUAGCUUUGACAUGUACUCAGAAAUCAGCUGGACUUCUAGAAAUCAAUACUUCAUUGACUUUCUUACCAAAGUUCAGAUUUCUGAUGCUAGAUUGUUUUGAUAAAACUUUAUCAAAAUCAUACACCUUCCCUUAGAUAGCACACUUGUGUAUCUAAACAAUUAUGAAGAGGGAUGCCGUAAUCAUAAUGUUUAGACCUUUUUGCCACUUCUCACAAGUCCAAGUUAGUGUGCCGGUUAACCACACGCGCUCCACUAACGACUUUGAGAAUGCAAAUAUCACAAUUGCUAUCUAGCUAAAAUCUACUUAGUGAAAGUGUUUCCUCACCAUCAUUUUCAUGAAUCGGAGAGAAACCUUAUGACACUUAGAUUUAAUGGUGUAUGUGUUCUUAUC
rnacentral:lncRNA from 1 species